rnacentral:rRNA from 4 species
ACGCGACCCCAGGUCAGGCGG